rnacentral:lncRNA from 1 species
AGAAACUAGAAGAAAUGGCUUCCUAAUCUUUGUGGAGACUGCAUAAACAGUAUGCUUUUGCAUCCACAACCUGCCAGACUAGACCUGAUUUACCACGUAGGAUUUACGUGAUGAAGAAAACUAUAUCACCAACUGAAAGUGAACCCUUCUUUGCAUUUGAUGCUAGAGGGAAAAACUAAAUUUGCAAAAAUAAAAGAAUGUAGUUCUCAGACAGAACUAAGCUGCUGCUUGGACUUAAGCUUAGAAAUCGUAGCGAAGGAACCUUUCU